UUGACGGCCAACGUUAAUGACUCUGCGUUUCUUCAUGCUUCUCCUCUGUUACAGGAGCUGUUCGAAACAAACAACGAUGGUGAAACAGCGGGUGGUUGACUGGACUGGGCUUGGUGGACGACGAUGGCACUAAAGUUGACGGAUUCGAAUCUCCAGACUGAACGGUUUUAGCUAGCCAAACUAAGAUAUACAUAAUUCUUGAGUUUGUCAUGGGAGGAGAACUAAAU